UGUCCUUAUCGUGCUCGGUUGGUACAGCAAGAGACUCUUAAUCUCAGGGUUGUAGGUUCGAGUCCCACGCUGGGUAA